UACGUAGGGGGCAAGCGUUGGUCCGGAUUUAUUGGGCGUAAAGCGCACGCAGGCGGUCUUUUAAGUUUUGAGUGACAGGCGAGGGCUUAACCCUGGCAGGCCUUGGAAAACUGGAAGACUUGAGGGCGAGAGAGGGAUGCGGAAUUCCAGGUGGAGCGGUGAAAUGCGUAGAGAUCUGGAAGAACACCGAAGGCGAAGGCAGCAUCCUGGAGCGUUACGUGACGCUGAGGCACGAAGGCCAGGG
rnacentral:rRNA from 1 species